rnacentral:tRNA from 2 species
GGGCCGUUAGCUCAGUUGGUAGAGCAGUGGACUCUUAAUCCAUUUGUCGUAGGUUCGACCCCUACACGGCCCACCA